UGGGGAAUAUUGCACAAUGGGCGAAAGUCUGAUGCAGCAACGCCGCGUGAGUGAUGAAGGCCUUCGGGUUGUAAAGCUCUGUCUUUUGGGACGAUAAUGACGGUACCAAAGGAGGAAGCCACGGCUAACUACGUGCCAGCAGCCGCGGUAAUACGUAGGUGGCAAGCGUUGUCCGGAUUUACUGGGCGUAAAGGAUGCGUAGGCGGAUUUUUAAGUGAGAUGUGAAAUACCCGGGCUUAACUUGGGUGCUGCAUUUCAAACUGGGAAUCUAGAGUGCGGGAGAGGAGAAUGGAAUUCCUAGUGUAGCGGUGAAAUGCGUAGAGAUUAGGAAGAACACCAGUGGCGAAGGCGAUUCUCUGGACCGUAACUGACGCUGAGGCAUGAAAGCGUGGGUAGCAAACAGGAUUAGAUACCCUGGUAGUCCACGCCGUAAACGAUGAGUACUAGGUGUAGGAGGUAUCGACCCCUUCUGUGCCGCAGUUAACACAAUAAGUACUCCGCCUGGGAAGUACGAUCGCAAGAUUAAAACUCAAAGGAAUUGACGGGGUC
rnacentral:rRNA from 1 species